rnacentral:rRNA from 1 species
GUGGGGAAUAUUGCACAAUGGGCGCAAGCCUGAUGCAGCCAUGCCGCGUGUAUGAAGAAGGCCUUCGGGUUGUAAAGUACUUUCAGCGGGGAGGAAGGUGUUGUGGUUAAUAACCACAGCAAUUGACGUUACCCGCAGAAGAAGCACCGGCUAACUCCGUGCCAGCAGCCGCGGUAAUACGGAGGGUGCAAGCGUUAAUCGGAAUUACUGGGCGUAAAGCGCACGCAGGCGGUCUGUCAAGUCGGAUGUGAAAUCCCCGGGCUCAACCUGGGAACUGCAUUCGAAACUGGCAGGCUAGAGUCUUGUAGAGGGGGGUAGAAUUCCAGGUGUAGCGGUGAAAUGCGUAGAGAUCUGGAGGAAUACCGGUGGCGAAGGCGGCCCCCUGGACAAAGACUGACGCUCAGGUGCGAAAGCGUGGGGAGCAAACAGGAUUAGAUACCCGUGUAGUCC